rnacentral:tRNA from 1 species
GGGCCAUUUGCUUAGCCAAAAUUGGAAAUUUAUUCCCAUUUCUAAAUUGGUUAUCAAGGUUUUUGAGUACGCUUGGCCAACAAGCGCAGGUCUUAUAAACCUGAGAUCCGGGGUUCAAAUCCCCGAUGGCCCA